rnacentral:rRNA from 1 species
AGAACGCUGAAGCUUGGUGCUUGCACCGAGCGGAUGAGUUGCGAACGGGUGAGUAACGCGUAGGUAACCUGCCUCUUAGCGGGGGAUAACUAUUGGAAACGAUAGCUAAUACCGCAUAAAAGUCGAUAUCGCAUGAUAUUGAUUUGAAAGGUGCAAUUGCAUCACUAAGAGAUGGACCUGCGUUGUAUUAGCUAGUUGGUGAGGUAACGGCUCACCAAGGCGACGAUACAUAGCCGACCUGAGAGGGUGAUCGGCCACACUGGGACUGAGACACGGCCCAGACUCCUACGGGAGGCAGCAGUAGGGAAUCUUCGGCAAUGGGGGCAACCCUGACCGAGCAACGCCGCGUGAGUGAAGAAGGUUUUCGGAUCGUAAAGCUCUGUUGUAAGAGAAGAACGAGUGUGAGAGUGGAAAGUUCACACUGUGACGGUAACUUACCAGAAAGGGACGGCUAACUACGUGCCAGCAGCCGCGGUAAUACGUAGGUCCCGAGCGUUAUCCGGAUUUAUUGGGCGUAAAGCGAGCGCAGGCGGUUAGAUAAGUCUGAAGUUAAAGGCUGUGGCUUAACCAUAGUACGCUUUGGAAACUGUUUAACUUGAGUGCAGAAGGGGAGAGUGGAAUUCCAUGUGUAGCGGUGAAAUGCGUAGAUAUAUGGAGGAACACCGGUGGCGAAAGCGGCUCCCUGGUCUGUAACUGACGCUGAGGCUCGAAAGCGUGGGGAGCAAACAGG